CCCAGGUCAGGCGGGGCUACCCGCUGAAUUUAAGCAUAUCAAUAAGCGGAGGAAAAGAAACUU
rnacentral:rRNA from 1 species